rnacentral:rRNA from 1 species
ACGGAAGGCAGCAGUGGGGAAUAUUGCACAAUGGGGGAAACCCUGAUGCAGCGACGCCGCGUGAGUGAAGAAGUAUUUCGGUAUAUAAAGCUCUAUCAGCAGGGAAGAAAAUGACGGUACCUGACUAAGAAGCCCCGGCUAACUACGUGCCAGCAGCCGCGGUAAUACGUAGGGGGCAAGCGUUAUCCGGAUUUACUGGGUGUAAAGGGAGCGUAGACGGUUCUGCAAGUCUGAUGUGAAAGGCAGGGGCUCAACUCCUGGACUGCAUUGGAAACUGUAGAACUAGAGUGCCGGAGAGGUAAGCGGAAUUCCUAGUGUAGCGGUGAAAUGCGUAGAUAUUAGGAGGAACACCAGUGGCGAAGGCGGCUUACUGGACGGUAACUGACGUUGAGGCUCGAAAGCGUGGGGAGCAAACAGGAUUAGAUACCCUGGUA